rnacentral:rRNA from 2 species
UCGGAGAGUUUGAUCCUGGCUCAGGACGAACGCUGGCGGCGUGCCUAAUACAUGCAAGUCGAGCGGACAGAUGGGAGCUUGCUCCCUGAUGUUAGCGGCGGACGGGUGAGUAACACGUGGGUAACCUGCCUGUAAGACUGGGAUAACUCCGGGAAACCGGGGCUAAUACCGGAUGGUUGUCUGAACCGCAUGGUUCAGACAUAAAAGGUGGCUUCGGCUACCACUUACAGAUGGACCCGCGGCGCAUUAGCUAGUUGGUGAGGUAACGGCUCACCAAGGCGACGAUGCGUAGCCGACCUGAGAGGGUGAUCGGCCACACUGGGACUGAGACACGGCCCAGACUCCUACGGGAGGCAGCAGUAGGGAAUCUUCCGCAAUGGACGAAAGUCUGACGGAGCAACGCCGCGUGAGUGAUGAAGGUUUUCGGAUCGUAAAGCUCUGUUGUUAGGGAAGAACAAGUGCCGUUCAAAUAGGGCGGCACCUUGACGGUACCUAACCAGAAAGCCACGGCUAACUACGUGCCAGCAGCCGCGGUAAUACGUAGGUGGCAAGCGUUGUCCGGAAUUAUUGGGCGUAAAGGGCUCGCAGGCGGUUUCUUAAGUCUGAUGUGAAAGCCCCCGGCUCAACCGGGGAGGGUCAUUGGAAACUGGGGAACUUGAGUGCAGAAGAGGAGAGUGGAAUUCCACGUGUAGCGGUGAAAUGCGUAGAGAUGUGGAGGAACACCAGUGGCGAAGGCGACUCUCUGGUCUGUAACUGACGCUGAGGAGCGAAAGCGUGGGGAGCGAACAGGAUUAGAUACCCUGGUAGUCCACGCCGUAAACGAUGAGUGCUAAGUGUUAGGGGGUUUCCGCCCCUUAGUGCUGCAGCUAACGCAUUAAGCACUCCGCCUGGGGAGUACGGUCGCAAGACUGAAACUCAAAGGAAUUGACGGGGGCCCGCACAAGCGGUGGAGCAUGUGGUUUAAUUCGAAGCAACGCGAAGAACCUUACCAGGUCUUGACAUCCUCUGACAAUCCUAGAGAUAGGACGUCCCCUUCGGGGGCAGAGUGACAGGUGGUGCAUGGUUGUCGUCAGCUCGUGUCGUGAGAUGUUGGGUUAAGUCCCGCAACGAGCGCAACCCUUGAUCUUAGUUGCCAGCAUUCAGUUGGGCACUCUAAGGUGACUGCCGGUGACAAACCGGAGGAAGGUGGGGAUGACGUCAAAUCAUCAUGCCCCUUAUGACCUGGGCUACACACGUGCUACAAUGGACAGAACAAAGGGCAGCGAAACCGCGAGGUUAAGCCAAUCCCACAAAUCUGUUCUCAGUUCGGAUCGCAGUCU